rnacentral:rRNA from 1 species
UACAGAGGGUGCAAGCGUUAAUCGGAAUUACUGGGCGUAAAGCGCGCGUAGGUGGUUCGUUAAGUUGGAUGUGAAAUCCCCGGGCUCAACCUGGGAACUGCAUUCAAACUGACGAGCUAGAGUAUGGUAGAGGGUGGUGGAAUUCCUGUGUAGCGGUGAAAUGCGUAGAUAUAGGAAGGACACCAGUGGCGAAGCGGCUCUCUAGUACGGUACUGAGCUGAGACGCGAAAGCGUGGG